GGAUAGAUAACUAGCUACCUACCCACAGGUAAUAGACCCACGCAGAGUGACUGGCCACUUGGAUGUCUGAGUUAAAAGGAAAUAGGUUGUCAGAGCUUGAAGGCAAAUUAUCGGUCUUCUUCCUCUUUAUUCCUCCAGCACCCAGCUGGGAGUAGGCAGAAGGGACAAUGAAUUGUGACUCGGAAAUUAAUCAGAUGAGACCUGAUGACUGAAGUACAUCACAGAGCUAGGAAGAGAGAUUACUAAGCAACACGGUGAGAGCUCCAUCCUCUGGGUAUUCAGCCAACUACAGAUCACUCAAAGGCAGACAUUCUGGGAUCUUCCAUCCAUCAAGCUGAACCAGAGUACAAGGCCAAAACCAGUGAAUGACAAAGCAACCCCAUGCCCAGCUUAAGAGUUUCCUCAGAGAGUUUGUCUUGUAGGAGUCAUUAGACACUAAUUUGAUUCUAUUUGCAUGUGCACACCCUGCCCUUUGCCAAACAGGGAGAGAAUCACACUUGAGAGCUAGCGCUCAGCUCAGUCUCUUCUCCACACCACGCUAGUGCACCAAGAACAAGGUUAUAGGUGUGGCAAAAAAACAAACCCUGCCAAUGCUCUAAGUAUAUGUUUGAUGUAAUCUUAUUUCUCAUAAAAUUAAGAGGAUAAUAUUUUUAGGUGAUGCAGAGUAUGAGACUGUCAUUAGGUUACUCUGAAUCUCUUUCUCUCUCUCUCUUCAUGGUAAAAAUUAAGUUCCAUUAGGAAAAUUCUUCCUCCCCUUCCUUCCUCCCAUUGGUCUUUCCUCCUAAGAUCCAGGUAGCUCUGAGAAAGUUUGUUUCAUCUAUGCGUUGGCCUGGGAAUCCUCCUCUUGUUAAUCUACACAAAUAAAAUCAUCUUAAAGAUCGAAAGCUUUUGUACAAAAAUGUCCUUCAUAGUGUUUUCUAUAUUAGCAAAAUGUUGUACAAAUAAUACAUAAUCUAACAUCUUAAAAAAGGGGAAAUGAUUAAAUAAAUUAUAGCACAAAAAUUCUGUGAGAUAUAUAGGCGAUGAUUAGAUGACAAUGUCAGGUCAGUUCAAUAAAUACAUGUUCAUUAGUUCCCAUAU
rnacentral:lncRNA from 1 species